UUCAACAUACUAUGCUGAAAAUGGAAUAGAAGAUAUUGAUAAUAAUACUGGUGUUUUUCAAUAUUACUGUACAAGAGAUCACACAAGGCAUGCUGAGAUAAGAAUAGAAAUUUAUACUACUAUGGAAUAUUUCAACAUACUAUGCUGAAAAUGGAAUAGAAGAUAUUGAUAAUAAUACUGGUGUUUUUCAAUAUUACUGUACAAGAGAUCACACAAGGCAUGCUGAGAUAAGAAUAGAAAUUUAUACUACUAUGGAAUAUUUCAACAUACUAUGCUGAAAAUGGAAUAGAAGAUAUUGAUAAUAAUACUGGUGUUUUUCAAUAUGACUGUACAAGAGAUCACACAAGGCAUGCUGGGAUAAGAAUAGAAAUUUAUACUACUAUGGAAUAUUUCAACAUACCAUUCUGAAAAUGGAAUAGAAGAUAUUGAUAAUAAUACUGGUGUUUUUCAAUAUUACUGUACAAGAGAUCACACAAGGCAUGCUGAGAUAAGAAUAGAAAUUUAUACUACCAUGGAAUAUUUCAACAUACCAUGCUGAAAAUGGAAUAGAAGAUAUUGAUAAUAAUACUGGUGUUUUUCAAUGUAUGUG